AUGGUUUCUUCUGCAGUGAUACUGCCAACCUUGCGAUUUCAGCUGAGGAUAAAGAAACUGAAUCAUCUGUAUGUUCUUCAGAAGACAAACCCUGAGAAGUUCAAGGGAGACUGGCAAGCUCUUUGAAGAACCUACUGAGCCAUAAGAACCUUGAGGAUUUUCUUUGACACAUCUUGUUUACCAAUAAAGCAGGGAGAAUAAUGUCCUGUGUGAAGAAAUCUGUGAAUGCUGAGCUCUUUGCCCAGGCAAGGGGCACAUUUCAUGAGAUCCUGUGCAGUCUUCCUCUUCUCCCAGAUGAAGCUUUUCAGGACAGAGAACUGGAUUCUGUCCACUUCUGUGAAGCACCUGGAGCAUUUAUAGCCUGCCUUAAGCACUACUUGAAGUCCCACCACAUCCCUUGCCACUGGAAUUGGACAGCAAAUACUCUAAACCCUUAUCAUGAAGCCAAAGACACCCUUCUGAUGAUCAUGGGUGACGCUCUGACAGCGAACACGUUACCUUGGUGGUACUUUGGCCCAGAUAACACUGGGGAUUGGAGUGGCAGACUCGUAGGGAGAAGACUCUUGGUCAGGUGUGAGAUGUAUGACAGUGAUGAUGUGGACCAUUAUGACUAAACUUACUGCUAAUAGAGUGUCUCAAUCUUGUCACUGCAGUAUAAAAUAGAAGCAGGUCUAAAGGGCUCUAAUAUGAGCAGGUUUGGCUGGAAACCCACAGGAUUCCAGUCUUUGGCAGUGCAGAACUCACUGAGACAAAGCAACAAGGCACCUCUGGAGCUACUUCAGGAUUUUAUCUGUGGACAUAACUGGAUCUUAGUUGGAUCUGCACUCAGAGGCACCAGGAAGCUGCAGGGGCAUGCAAGGAGCUCCAGUGACCCAGGGGGAGGGUGGCAGGAGCCUUCCAGCACUUGGCUCCUUGCCAGGUGCAAGGGAAGCCUGCAAGGCUCGGCUGGAUGCUGCAGCUCUGCCUCUACCUUCUGGACACUUUCCCAUCCAUAAUGGGACUUCAAACUGCUGAAGAACAGCCUCUAUGAGGUACAUUCCCAAAGGCAAAGAAACUCUAAAGUGAAAAUCACUGCCCUGACUUGUGCCACUUUGCUUCUGAGUUUAACAAGAAGAGCAUCCCCACGAGCGCCCAUUUUUCCAGCUCUCUGGCUCCCGACUAACAGACAUGCCAGCUGAGCCAAGGAAUUGGGAUUUCUAGUUGUGAUCACAAACUUGCCAGAUUGUGCCAUCAUGGUUCUGAACUCCUCUGCGUUGUCCCCUAUUUGGUGGGUUGAAAUGCCAGCUCUUGUGCGUGAGCCAGAAGAGUGCUUCCAGCCUGAAGCUGAACUCACUAAUUGAGCUGUGGUGACCUGCUAUGAACAGGUAAGUCUUUCUCCUCAUCCCCCCUCCUCCCCUUAAAACUACAUUAUUUACAUUCCACUCUCUAAAUUGACUAAACAGAGUUUGACUUUUUCUGUGCAUAAAGUUUAAUGAUUUGUGUAGAGUCAUCAUGUUAUAAAUGAAUGCUCUAAUUUAUUAAUUAAAGAAAAUUUAUUAAAUGUUCCAAAUAUAAAUUCAGAUGAUAACAGCGAAAAGCCACUAUCAAAAAAAAAAAAAAAAAGGGUCAAUGCCGAGUCCGGGAUCAGCACUGGGUGAGACACACAUUUGACUGCUGCAGCAGAGGGUCCCCUAUGUUCACACCGUCCUGCUCAAGUGGUGUUUAUACAGUUUAUUUUGCUCAAGGCAGGGAUUUCGGAGAUUUGGGAUCAGGCUUUUCUUUCCAUUCAAAGUCUCACAUAUUCAUAGAGUCUCUUUUCUCUGGCUGAGUUGAACAAAACUGUGUCUGGGAAGUGAUGGAUGCCAAUCAGAGGAUUACUGGAACUUGACAUUGAGAUGCGUCUUCUUGAUGGCUCUGGCUAUCUCAAUCUGAGAUAAUUACCAAGUAUUCAUCUCCUGGGUGUUCCUUGGAUUACCUUGGAGAAGUACCCAUCUCCGAGCUGGCCACCUCCAUUCGUUUGGAAAUGAGGUCCUUUUCUCCCUGCUGCCAGCUUUGGUUUCGAAAUACUGUGAAGCAAUUUUCCCGUUCUGGCUUGAGUGCUUAAGAAUACGUACAGGAAUAUGUCUUACUAAUAUAACAUAUUUCAUACAACUAUUUCUCACAAGCAUGAAUUAUCUAAAAUACAUGUAAUAAUCAGGUGCCAAUAACAACUUCUAUGCUGUAGCAGUUUCGAUGAAGUAGUUGUCAUGACAACUCAAUUAACUAAAUCAACAUAUUUGUAAGCAGCUGCAGCUCAUGUGCUCUGCAUCACAUUUACUUCCACACAGAUCAUAUGUGCCAAUGAGUCUGACCCUCAGCUCUCUGCCUCUCCUCCUCUCUCAGCCAGGAAGAUGAGGUACAAGGCAGUACUGCUCACUCUCAGCUGGGAUCUGGCACGUGUGGAGAUGAUUCUGGCAGUGCAGAAAUCCAGAUCAAGCCAUUGUCACCAUCCUCUUCCUCCCUCCCACUCCUCCCCAUUCUUCACUUGAGGUCACCUUUCAGGAAUUGUGUGCUAGCUCUGCUCUAAUUAAAGGAGAGUUUGUAGAU